rnacentral:rRNA from 1 species
AGUAUAGGAGGUCCAGCCUGCCCAGUGACUACGGGUUCAACGGCCGCGGUAUUUUGACCGUGCAAAGGUAGCGCAAUCACUUGUCUCUUAAAUAGAGACCUGUAUGAAUGGCUAGACGAGGGCUUAACUGUCUCCCCCCUCCAGUCAGUGAAAUUGAUCUAUCCGUGCAGAAGCGGGUAUGAUUAUACAAGACGAGAAGACCCUUUGGAGCUUAAGGUACAAAGUUCAACCACGUUAAACGACUCUAUAAAAAGCGAGAACUUAGUGGUGGAUGAAGUUUUACCUUCGGUUGGGGCGACCACGGAGGAGAAAGAAGCCUCCGAGUGGACUGGGCUAAACCCCAAAGCUAAGAGAGACAUCUCUAAGCCGCAGAACAUCUGACCAAAAAUGAUCCGGCUGAAAAGCCGAUCAACGAACCAAGUUACCCUAGGGAUAACAGCGCAAUCCUCUCCCAGAGUCCAUAUCGACGAGGGGGUUUACGACCUCGAUGUUGGAUCAGGACAUCCUAAUGGUGCAGCCGCUAUUAAGGGUUCGUUUG